rnacentral:rRNA from 1 species
UACGGAGGGGGCAAGCGUUAUUCGGAAUUAUUGGGCGUAAAGGGCGCGUAGGCGGCUAGAUGUGUCAAAGGUGAAAUCCCUCGGCUCAACUGAGGAACUGCCUUUGAAACUGUCUGGCUUGAGGCCGGGAGAGGGUAGCGGAAUUCCCAGUGUAGCGGUGAAAUGCGUAGAGAUCCCCAAGAACACCCGUUGCGAAGGCGGCUCACUGGUCCGGUUCUGACGCUGAGGCGCGAAAGCGUGGGGAGCAAACAGG